UAGGGGGCGUAGCAAUACGUCACCGGCGGACGGGUGCGUAACACGUGGGAACGUACCCUUUGGUUCGGAACAACGCAGGGAAACUUGCGCUAAUACCGAAUGUGCCCGAAAGGGGAAAGAUUUAUCGCCAAAGGAUCGGCCCGCGUCUGAUUAGCUAGUUGGUGAGGUAAUGGCUCACCAAGGCGACGAUCAGUAGCUGGUCUGAGAGGAUGAUCAGCCACAUUGGGACUGAGACACGGCCCAAACUCCUACGGGAGGCAGCAGUGGGGAAUAUUGGACAAUGGGCGCAAGCCUGAUCCAGCCAUGCCGCGUGAGUGAUGAAGGCCCUAGGGUUGUAAAGCUCUUUUGUGCGGGAAGAUAAUGACGGUACCGCAAGAAUAAGCCCCGGCUAACUUCGUG
rnacentral:rRNA from 1 species